GGGAUUCCAAUGGCAGGCAGGAAAUCUUGUAGUAGGUGAUCGUGGCCUUCCUUGGGAUCCCUGUUUCCCCCUUUUAUUCCCUUUUCACCCAGUAAAACCCUGCUUUGCUCACUCUUUAAAGCAUCUGUGAGCGUAAAUUUUUGUGGCCAUGGGAUGGACAAGAACCACAUGUUUACCUGAAGUCCUGUGACAUUUUGGUGUGCAGCAUGGGAGCUCCAAAAGUGAUGCCAGAGGAUGCUAUAGAAAAAUGCGUGCCCUCUUGUAAUACUUUGUUCAAGUUCUGAUCAGAAGGAUGAAUGAUGGAGCCCAAGAAGCCAGAGUCUCAUUGUGUUGCUCAGGCUGGAAUCCAGUGGCAUGAUCUCGGCUCAGUGCAACCUCCGCCUCCUGGGUUCAAGCAGUUCUCCUAGAUCAGCAUCAGCGUCCCGAGUAGCUGGGAUUACAGGCACCCGCCACCAUGCCUGGCUAAUGUUGGUCAGGCUGGCUCGAACUCCUGACCUCAAGAGAUCCACCUGCUUUGGCCUCCCAAAGUGCUCGGAUUACAGGCAUGAGCUGCCACACCCAGCCUCCAAAUACUUUUUUUUUAAAUCAAAAUAAUGAUUUCAAUGACUGAGAUCUGUUAUGUAUUUCAACAUAAUCAUGUUUCAUAAAGAUUUAGUCUUCUGAAA
rnacentral:lncRNA from 1 species